AUAAGGGCGCACGGUGGAUGCCUUGGCACUAGGAGCCGAUGAAGGACGGGACUAACACCGAUAUGCUUUGGGGAGCUGUACGUAAGCUAUGAUCCAGAGAUUUCCGAAUGGGGGAACCCAGCAUCUUUUAUAGGAUGUUACGUUUGCGUGAAUACAUAGCGCAUUCGAGGUAGACGCAGAGAACUGAAACAUCUAAGUACCUGCAGGAAGAGAAAGAAAAUUCGAUUCCCUGAGUAGCGGCGAGCGAAACGGGAAAAGCCCAAACCAAUGAGCUUGCUCAUUGGGGUUGUAGGACUCCAAUAUGGUAGUUCUUUCAGAUAGUCGAAUGACUUGGAAAAGUCAGUCAAAGAGGGUAAAAACCCCGUAGAUGAAAUUUGGAAGGCACCUAGGAGGAUCCUGAGUACGGCGGAACACGAGGAAUUCCGUCGGAAUCCGGGAGGACCAUCUCCCAAGGCUAAAUACUCCCUAGUGACCGAUAGUGAACCAGUACCGUGAGGGAAAGGUGAAAAGCACCCCGGAAGGGGAGUGAAAUAGAACCUGAAACCGUGUGCCUACAACAAGUCAAAGCCCGUUAAUGGGUGAUGGCGUGCCUUUUGUAGAAUGAACCGGCGAGUUACGAUUGCAUGCGAGGUUAAGUUGAAGAGACGGAGCCGCAGCGAAAGCGAGUCUGAAUAGGGCGUUUGAGUAUGUAGUCGUAGACCCGAAACCAUGUGAUCUACCCAUGUCCAGGUUGAAGGUGCGGUAAAACGCACUGGAGGACCGAACCCACGUACGUUGAAAAGUGCGGGGAUGAGGUGUGGGUAGCGGAGAAAUUCCAAACGAACUUGGAGAUAGCUGGUUCUCUCCGAAAUAGCUUUAGGGCUAGCCUCGGAAUUGAGAAUGAUGGAGGUAGAGCACUGUUUGGACUAGGGGCCCAUCUCGGGUUACCGAAUUCAGAUAAACUCCGAAUGCCAUUCAUUCAUAUCCGGGAGUCAGACUGUGAGUGAUAAGAUCCAUAG
rnacentral:rRNA from 1 species